rnacentral:rRNA from 1 species
GAACGCGGCGAUAACACGUUACAUGUAGCAGUUCCCAAAGGAUCACUAAAGUUAAGCAACGUUGCGCACGGUUGGUCUCCAGAUGGGUACAAUCUGCCAUCUGGGCAAUCGAGUGCUACUGCCU